UAGCGCUGUUGUCAGUAACUGAUGACGCAGAGACGAACAGCGGUCAUUUCGUGCCUUACAGUCUGUCGUUACGUUUGAAGGUGGAGGGACGCUAUUAUAUUCCGAUAAAGAUGGCUCGACAACUUGGGCGGUAAUGGACGGAAGAAUACUAACAAUCUAAGAAACGCGAUGAAUGCUGUUCUCAAUGACGGCAUGGCUGUCAGAAAAGCUACUGAGACGUUUGGUAUUCCAAGAAGAACCCUUCGGAACCAUCUAACUUAAGGUAGUUUUAAGAAAAUAACAGGUCGUCAGUCUAUUUUGACCUUUGAACAAGAGCUGGAAUUGUGCGGGAGAAUUAAUCGUUUAACUGAUUUGGAAUGUCCAUCACACCAAAAUUGGUGAAACGGACUGUUUACACUUUUUGUCAAAUCAAAAUAAAAAAUCUAUUCAAUGAUAAGUUAUGUAUGAGUUUGUACACUGGAGAAAAACCUGUAUGACAUUAUUUGUUUUAAGCAGUUUUCCCAUUAAUAUAAUUCGUAUUCAGAAAGAAUUGAUUGUUGUUUCAAGACGAAUCAUUUUCCAUGUGAGCCUCUUCAAGUCCAUGCUAUUAACUGAACAGGUCCGCAUUGUUAAUCGAUAUAGGAUAGAGCAACUUCUUUGUAUUUUCAUUUUUGUAAAUAAACCUCAUAUUAAAU
rnacentral:lncRNA from 1 species